rnacentral:rRNA from 1 species
GAUGAACGCUGGCGGCGUGCCUAAUACAUGCAAGUCGAGCGAACGGACGAGAAGCUUGCUUCUCUGAUGUUAACGGCGGACGGGUGAGUAAAACGUGGAUAACCUACCUAUAAGACUGGGAUAACUUCGGGAAACCGGAGCUAAUACCGGAUAAUAUUUUGAACCGCAUGGUUCAAAAGUAAAAGACGGUCUUGCUGUCACUUAUAGAUGGAUCCGCGCUGCAUUAGCUAGUUGGUAAGGUAACGGCUUACCAAGGCAACGAUGCAUAGCCGACCUGAGAGGGUGAUCGGCCACACUGGAACUGAGACACGGUCCAGACUCCUACGGGAGGCAGCAGUAGGGAAUCUUCCGCAAUGGGCGAAAGCCUGACGGAGCAACGCCGCGUGAGUGAUGAAGGUCUUCGGAUCGUAAAACUCUGUUAUUAGGGAAGAACAUAUGUGUAAGUAACUGUGCACAUCUUGACGGUACCUAAUCAGAAAGCCACGGCUAACUACGUG